rnacentral:rRNA from 1 species
UACCCGCUGAACUUAAGCAUAUCAAUAAGCGGAGGAAAAGAAACUAACAAGGAUUCCCCUAGUAACGGCGAGUGAAGCGGGAAGAGCUCAAGCUUAAAAUCUCUGCGCAAGUUUUGCGCGGCGAAUUGUAGUCUAUGGAGGCGUGGUCAGCGCGGGCGCUCGGGGUAAGUUCCUUGGAAGAGGACAGCAUGGAGGGUGAUACUCCCGUUCAUCCCUGGGCCGCUUGCGCGUACGACCCGUGUUCUUCGAGUCGCGUUGUUUGGGAAUGCAGCGCAAAGUAGGUGGUAAAUUCCAUCUAAAGCUAAAUAUUGGUGCGAGACCGAUAGCGAACAAGUACCGUGAGGGAAAGAUGAAAAGAACUUUGAAAAGAGAGUUAAAGAGUACCUGAAACUGCUGAAAGGGAACCGAAUCGUUUCCAGUGUCUAUAAUCCGCGGCAUAUUUCAUCGUCGAGUGUGUGCGUGUGCGUGCGUUCGCAGUGGCUUUUUUGGCUGCGCGGCGCGUGUGCUGUGCGUGUGCUUGGUGGUGCCCUGUGCUGCGGUGGGACGUCAAGGUCAGUUCGUGUGCUGCGGGAAAUGGCUGCCGAGGAGGUAGGGCUUACGCUCCGCGUUUGUCUGUUAUAUCUUGGUGGACGAGUCGUCGCGGUUGGGACUGAGGUGCCUACAACGUGCUUUUGAGUGUGUGUGUCUCUCUGUGUGCCCGGUGUGCGGAUAGCUUGCUAUGCGUGUGCUGUCGUGCGCGGAUGGGGGCGUGCGAACUUAAGCAUAUCAAUAAGCGGAGGAAAAGAAACUAACAAGGAUUCCCCUAGUAACGGCGAGUGAAGCGGGAAGAGCUCAAGCUUAAAAUCUCUGCGCAAGUUUUGCGCGGCGAAUUGGAGCGCGAAAUGAAAGUGAAGGGCAGCUUGCGUUGUCUGAGGUAGGAAACGUGCGGCCUCUCGGGGCUGUGCGUGGCACUAUCGACCGAUCAUGAACCUUCGUGGUGAAAGAUUUGAGUUUGAGCACAUAUGUUGGUACCCGAAAGAUGGUGAACUAUGCCUGAGUAGGGUGAAGCCAGGGGAAACUCUGGUGGAAGCUCGUAGCGAUUCUGACGUGCAAAUCGAUCGUCAAACUUGGGUAUAGGGGCGAAAGACUAAUCGAACCAUCUAGUAGCUGGUUCCCUCCGAAAUUUCCCUCAGGAUAGCAGCAACUUUUUUACGAUAGUUUUAUGAGGUAAAGCGAAUGAUUAGAGGAUUCGGGGAAGAAACUUCCUCGACCUAUUCUCAAACUUUAAAUCUGUAAGACCUGCAGGUUUCUUAAUUGAACUUGCGGAUGUGAAUAUCAAGUUGCUAGUGGGCCAUACGGGGUAA